rnacentral:tRNA from 1 species
GACACUUUGGCCGAGCGGUUAAGGCGUGAGCCUAGAAAGCUCAUGGGGCUUCCCUGUGCAGGUUCAAAUCCUGCAGGUGUCG